CAUGUACUUAAAUGCCACUGCUGGUCCCCUUUCCCUCUGUUUGGGCACUCUUGGACUGGCUCCUCCAGUCCUAUCUUUCCAGAGGGUAGUGGUAUUUGAGUCCUGGUGGAUAGUCAAAUAUUUGCCAUUCUCAUCACAGAGGUCAAGCUGACAAGAUAAAUUUAUCUCCGGUCAUUUGUGUGUGUUUACAUAUUUUUACAAAUACAUGCUCGAUAUAGACACACCAUUUGCAACUAUAGUCGUGGCGCUUCAUCAAGUCACGUGCAAAAGCGUGGCCUCGAGUGCAAAAGUGCCCCUCCCACCAGGGAAAGGCUGCAUAAAACAAAAGCCAACUGACUUAGGGCAGCGACCGUUGGCCACAAAGGCGCGAGCGCAGUGAUCCCAACAGCAAAUCCAGGGGGGAAGGAGUUCGUGUGAGCAUACAAGCUGUUGGGGGGACCCUCAGUAGAACUGGAGAUGGGGUGAAUUGGCUCUGUCCACAUUAAGGGUGGCCUCAAGAAAAGACAUGCAACAGUACAGCAUAACAGCUGCAGGAAGGACCCAGGCCAGAAGAAGCAGUGUGCACAACCCGUUGUUACCUGUCAGAUGCCUCCACCAGCCUGCACACAACCUCUGCACAACUGAUCUACAGAAUGUGAGUAAUUAGCUCCCCACCCUUUGACAUCAUUGUUCCCAAUGCACUAGUGCAGGGACAGAGAAGCUGUACACAUGACCAUCCUAUGAAGACACAACAAACCUCGUUCUGCAGUCCAGGUAAGAAAAUUUAUUACAUUUCCCAUCUGCCUCAUUAUCUUCCCAUGCCAUGGUCCCUGUGGCACCUGUCUCAAACAGGUGGGACAUGCAGUAACAGUAUCUCCUAGCCACUAAACAUCCAAGACAACUAUGACAAUGUAAGUAGAAGUCAUGAUGAGUGUGGAGUACCAUGGUGUUUAGGGAGUAUCUUCCUAUGAGCUUCUAAGAUUGGGAAAUUCUUCUAAGCAAGUAAUGAAAAAUUUUCAUGGCCUUCCUCAUGAGGUCGUGGAAAUGUUAGAAAUGAUAAGUCUGUGAAAACUGUUACCUCAUUAUAUAUUGUCAUGGUAAACUAGCAUUUGGUACCAGGAUAUUCAGACUGAGGAUUCUGGAAGAAGGGAACCUGAGGCAUAUCUCUGGCCAUCUUUUCUCAAGGUAAAAGAAACCUGAGACAAUGUGAGGGAAAUGUGUUCCUGAGAAACAAGAUAACAGAAUCUAUUAGGGAUACAAUUCCAUAGGCAAGACCAGAUCCUUAUAACAACUCUAAAGCACCAGACCUCCUCUGUGUUGAAAUAUUGGCUCAGCAAAGAACAUAGUCAUUUCUAUGGCCCUUUGAGUCACCAAACCUACAGUUCAGAUGUUAACACAAGUCACAAUACAUCCUUUUUUAGCUAAAGUUCCUGGACCAACUGGAUGCUCAUCAUCAUAGAAAUUUAUAAUAACCAAUGGUCUUCCUCAGUUUGUAAUUUUCCACAAGUUUGACAAAUUCCACAAUACAAAAAAUAUACUCAUUCUCCAGAUGGUUAUGCCUCUUGUACAAAGUUUCAGCACAGGAUUGACCACUACAAAGGUCCAUGUACUCUCUGGUGUAUAAUAUGCUCAUGAGAGAUAUCAUGAAAUAAAAAUCUAACCAUCAAAACUUUCCUUCUUGUAGCAGAAAUGAGAGCUCACUAAACUAAAUACGUGUUCUGAAAACAUGAGCAGAUGAGCUGAGAUCUACUGAACAAAUAAAAGCCUUGAAUUUCAAUGUGACCUAUAUGUUAUGCCUAUGGGGAUAGAAAUAGAAGGAUAUAGACUCUUUUGUAGCCCAAUGCAGAAUGGUCUGGCCACAUUUCUCACCUCCAGCUUAAAGGCAAGUGUCUCAGAAAACAAGGGCAAAAUAACAUGUGAGACAUUUUACUACUUGCACAUGAGCCAACACAUUCAAGUGCUCUAAACACACAUAUGAAGUUAUAAACCUAUACCUAGACAAAUAUACACAAGAGGUAUGAAGAAGGGGGAAUAGAGAAAACCAUCAGUGAACAUUUUAUCUUUCACAAUGAUGGUUAUACUGGUUGGUUCUUUGUGUCAACUUGAAACAAGCUGGAGUUAUCACAGAGAAAGGAGCCUCCCUUGUGGAAAUACCUCCAUGAGACCUA
rnacentral:sRNA from 1 species